rnacentral:rRNA from 1 species
GACGUAGGGCGCGAGCGUUGUCCGGAUUUAUUGGGUGUAAAGAGCUCGUAGGCGGCUUGUUGCGUCAGCUGUGAAAACCCGCAGCUCAACUGUGGGCUUGCAGCUGAUACGGGCAGGCUUGAGUUCGGUAGGGGAGACUGGAAUUCCUGGUGUAGCGGUGAAAUGCGCAGAUAUCAGGAGGAACACCGGUGGCGAAGGCGGCAUCCUGGACCAAUACUGACACUGAGGAGCGAAAGCCAGGGGAGCAAACGGG